rnacentral:tRNA from 1 species
UCCCUCGUAGCUCAGUCAGUCGAGUCUGCCUGCAAUGCAGAGGACCUGGGUUCAAUUCCUAGGGUGGGAA